UACGUAGGGGGCAAGCGUUGUCCGGAUUUAUUGGGCGUAAAGAGCGUGUAGGCGGCCAGACAAGUCUGCUGUGAAAACUCGAGGCUCAACCUCGAGCUGUCGGUGGAAACUGUCUGGCUAGAGUCCGGAAGAGGAGAGUGGAAUUCCUGGUGUAGCGGUGAAAUGCGCAGAUAUCAGGAAGAACACCGGUGGCGAAGGCGGCAUCCUGGACCGGUAUUGACGCUGAUGCGCGAAAGCCAGGGGAGCAAACGGG
rnacentral:rRNA from 1 species